AACGAAAUAGAAUAAGUAACACUAAUUCGUUAAUCUGCUAGGUUAAAGAUCCUUUAUAGGUUUUGUUG
rnacentral:tRNA from 1 species